rnacentral:misc_RNA from 1 species
GAAGUGUAUAGAAAAAUUGAAAUCAUUGCCUCUCUAAGUCUGCAGAUCGAACCGAUGCUUCUCCACAACUGUGAACCCUAAAUGAUCUCUCUCUGUCUCUACUCAUCAUUCUUCUAAAAGAGCUCAGCCGGGAGCUCGAUUGCUCCUCCGUCAACGGCGGAGCCGUCGCAUGAACCGCCUGAGAUCGCUCUCUGCUCAUUGUCCUUCUAAACGAACUAAACCUAGAGCUGGGUUGCUCCUCCACCAACGGCGGGGC